GACGAACGCUGGCGGCGUGCUUAACACAUGCAAGUCGAACGGAAAGGCCCUGCUUUUGUGGGGUGCUCGAGUGGCGAACGGGUGAGUAACACGUGAGUAACCUGCCCUUGACUUUGGGAUAACUUCAGGAAACUGGGGCUAAUACCGGAUAGGAGCUCCUGCUGCAUGGUGGGGGUUGGAAAGUUUCGGCGGUUGGGGAUGGACUCGCGGCUUAUCAGCUUGUUGGUGGGGUAGUGGCUUACCAAGGCUUUGACGGGUAGCCGGCCUGAGAGGGUGACCGGCCACACUGGGACGGAGAUGCGGCACAGACCCGUACGGGAGGGAGGGGUGGGGAGUAGUGCACAGUGGGCUGAAGGCUGAUCCAGCAACGCCGCGUGGGGGAUGACGGGCUUCGGGUUGUAAACCGAUUUCGCCUGUGACGAAGCGUGAGUGACGGUAACGGGUAAAGAAGCACCGGCUAACUACGUG
rnacentral:rRNA from 1 species